rnacentral:rRNA from 1 species
GUUUAUGGCCAUACCACCCUGAACAUGCCCUAUCUCUUCCAGUCUUGUAAGCUAAACAGGGUUGGACACGGUUAGUUGGAUGGGAGACUGCCUGAGUCUCAAAUGCUGCAGACU